UGGCAACUGAGUUGUGUUUCAGCCCAAAGCAGCAAAUGGAAUCCAGGUGACUGACAUCAUUAUCUAUCAGACAUGUGAGAGAACUCCUUAGGAUGAUGUUACUCAUUAUCUGCAACCACAUGAGAAACCCGGAGCAAGAACCACCCAGCCAAGGCCAAUCUCUAGAACUUUGAAAGAUAAUCAUAAAUGAAGCUUCAGGACCAUCAUCUGACAUAGGGGAAGAAGACUUACAUAGAAGGCCUAACCAGCACCCAAGAUCAUGGUGGUCAUGAAAGAUUUCAACAAUAAAGAUGUAUUUGAGCAGAGACGUAACAGGAGGGAGGAAACGAGCCAUGCAGCUAUUUCACUGAAGAGUAUUUCAGGGCUGAUGUCAGAGAAGGCUGAGUUGGGUACCAAGACAUUCAUUCUCUCCAGGUGGUAACAAGGACCCUCACAUGGUAUUAACGAAGACCAAAUGUUUGAAUUUCUGCUUGACUUCUUCUUCAAUUGUGAAAUCUGGAUCUAUGCAGGCUAGUCCUGUUUACUGCUG
rnacentral:lncRNA from 1 species